GUUGUAUAGUCAAGUAAUUAAGUGCAUGUGGUGGAUGCCUUGGCAGUCAGAGGCGAUGAAAGACGUGAUAGCCUGCGAAAAGCUCCGGGGAGGCGGCAAAUAUCCUUUGAUCCGGAGAUGUCUGAAUGGGGGAACCCACCUACUUUAAGGUAGGUAUUGCAACAUGAAUACAUAGUGUUGCAAGGCGAACGAGGGGAAGUGAAACAUCUCAGUACCCUUAGGAAAAGAAAUCAAUUGAGAUUCCCUCAGUAGCGGCGAGCGAACGGGGAUCAGCCCAUUAAGUUAUGUGUGUUUUAGUGGAACGCUCUGGGAAGUGCGAACGUAGAGGGUGAUAUUCCCGUACACGAAAGGGCACACAUAAUGAUGACGAGUAGGGCGAGGCACGUGAAACCUUGUCUGAAUAUGGGGGGACCAUCCUCCAAGGCUAAAUACUCCUGACUGACCGAUAGUGAACCAGUACCGUGAGGGAAAGGCGAAAAGAACCCCUGUGAGGGGAGUGAAAUAGAUCCUGAAACCGCAUGCAUACAAGCAGUGGGAGCACCUUCGUGGUGUGACUGCGUACCUUUUGUAUAAUGGGUCAGCGACUUAUAUUCAGUAGCGAGGUUAACCGUAUAGGGGAGCCGUAGAGAAAUCGAGUCUUAAUAGGGCGUUUAGUUGCUGGGUAUAGACCCGAAACCAGGCGAUCUAUCCAUGAGCAGGUUGAAGGUUGGGUAACACUAACUGGAGGACCGAACCCACUGUCGUUGAAAAGCCAGGGGAUGACUUGUGGAUAGGGGUGAAAGGCUAAUCAAGCCUGGUGAUAGCUGGUUCUCCCCGAAAGCUAUUUAGGUAGCGCCUCGGACGAAUACCAUAGGGGGUAGAGCACUGUUUCGGCUAGGGGGUCAUCCCGACUUACCAAACCGAUGCAAACUCCGAAUACCUAUGAGUACUAUCCGGGAGACAGACUGCGGGUGCUAACGUCCGUAGUCAAGAGGAAAACAAUCCAGACCGCCAGCUAAGGCCCCAAAAUCAUAGUUAAGUGGGAAACGAUGUGGGAAGGCAUAGACAGCUAGGAGGUUGGCUUAGAAGCAGCCACCCUUUAAAGAAAGCGUAAUAGCUCACUAGUCGAGUCGGCCUGCGCGGAAGAUGUAACGGGGCUAAAACUAUGUGCCGAAGCUGCGGAUGUAUACUUUGUAUACGUGGUAGGGGAGCGUUCUGUAAGCCGAUGAAGGUGUGUUGAGAAGCAUGCUGGAGGUAUCAGAAGUGCGAAUGCUGACGUGAGUAACGACAAAACGGGUGAAAAACCCGUUCGCCGAAAGACCAAGGGUUCCAGUCCAACGUUAAUCGGGGCUGGGUGAGUCGACCCCUAAGGCGAGGCCGAAAGGCGUAGUCGAUGGGAAAAUGGUUAAUAUUCCAUUACUUCUGUGUAAUGCGAUGAGAGGACGGAGAAGGCUAAAUCAGCCUGGCGUUGGUUGUCCAGGUGAAAGGAUGUAGGCAUGUAUCUUAGGCAAAUCCGGGGUACUCUAUGCUGAGAUCUGAUAGCAAGCUGUACUUGUACAGCGAAGUGGUUGAUGCCAUGCUUCCAGGAAAAGUCUCUAAGCUUCAGUUACACAGGAAUCGUACCCGAAACCGACACAGGUGGUCAGGUCGAGUAGACCAAGGCGCUUGAGAGAACUCUGCUGAAGGAACUAGGCAAAAUGGUACCGUAACUUCGGGAGAAGGUACGCUGUUGUUGGUGAUGGAACUCGCUUCCUGAGCUGACGACAGCCGCAGAAACCAGGCCGCUGCAACUGUUUAUUAAAAACAUAGCACUCUGCAAACACGAAAGUGGACGUAUAGGGUGUGAUGCCUGCCCGGUGCUGGAAGGUUAAUUGAUGGGGUUAGCGUAAGCGAAGCUCUUGAUCGAAGCCCCAGUAAACGGCGGCCGUAACUAUAACGGUCCUAAGGUAGCGAAAUUCCUUGUCGGGUAAGUUCCGACCUGCACGAAUGGCAUAAUGAUGGCGGCGCUGUCUCCAGCAGAGGCUCAGUGAAAUCGAAAUCGCUGUGAAGAUGCAGUGUACCCGCGGCUAGACGGAAAGACCCCGUGAACCUUUACUGCAGCUUGACACUGAACUUUGACCUUACUUGUGUAGGAUAGGUGGGAGGCUUUGAAGCUGGAACGCUAGUUCCAGUGGAGCCGUCCUUGAAAUACCACCCUGGUAAUGUUGAGGUUCUAACUCUGUCCCGUGAUCCGGGACGAGGACCGUGUCUGGUGGGUAGUUUGACUGGGGCGGUCUCCUCCUAAAGAGUAACGGAGGAGUACGAAGGUGCGCUCAGCGUGGUCGGAAAUCACGCGUAGAGUAUAAAGGCAAAAGCGCGCUUAACUGCGAGACCCACAAGUCGAGCAGGUACGAAAGUAGGUCUUAGUGAUCCGGUGGUUCUGUAUGGAAGGGCCAUCGCUCAACGGAUAAAAGGUACUCUGGGGAUAACAGGCUGAUACCGCCCAAGAGUUCAUAUCGACGGCGGUGUUUGGCACCUCGAUGUCGGCUCAUCUCAUCCUGGGGCUGAAGCAGGUCCCAAGGGUAUGGCUGUUCGCCAUUUAAAGAGGUACGCGAGCUGGGUUUAGAACGUCGUGAGACAGUUCGGUCCCUAUCUACCGUGGGCGCUGGAAAUUUGAGAGGAUCUGCUCCUAGUACGAGAGGACCAGAGUGGACGAACCUCUGGUGUACCGGUUGUGACGCCAGUCGCAUCGCCGGGUAGCUAUGUUCGGAAGGGAUAACCGCUGAAAGCAUCUAAGCGGGAAGCCUACCUCAAGAUAAGAUUUCCCUAGGACUUUAUGUCCUCUAAAGAGCCGUUCGAGACUAGGACGUUGAUAGGUUGGAUGUGGAAGCAUAGUGAUAUGUGAAGCUGACCAAUACUAAUUGCUCGUGAGGCUUGACUAUACAACACCCAA
rnacentral:rRNA from 1 species